GGGGAGGAAGGGCCCCCCUCCCUGUCCCCGGGGCUGCGAUAGAGCCAGAUCCCGGGAAGCGUGGCCUGGCUGCCUCCUGCUCCCCAGACCCCCGUGAACGGAGCCGGCCGGGCCUGGGCGAGUCACCCACGGGCGUGCGGCAGCCCUCGGCACCCCCUCCGGGAAGAAGCACCUCAGUCCGCCCCGACCCUGCAGGCUGCUGCCCACCAGGGCCGGUGGCCUGGCGCAGAGCCUGCCGCGAAGCGCUCACUGGUGGCUCCCCAUCUGCGGCGCUGGAUGCGUGGCUUUCGGUCAGUUGUAAGUAAUUGUACAUCAAAGUAGGUGGCUUUUACCCCACCGAUUUCCUGAGCUGAGCCAGGCCACAUGCUGAGGGCUCUGCCCAGCUUGCUGUGGUGGCACAGUGGCUUUAAAUUGAUGUGAAUAGCCCUAAAGUUCCUACCUCUACUGAAGGCACCAGCCAGGGCCUUCAUUGACCCACUAGUAAUGGCCUCAAAUUGAGCUUGGCUGGCUGGAUCUGCUGCAGCACCUCCACUAGUGACUUGGCACAUCAUGUUUCGAAGUGGCUUGGUGCUUGGCAUCACCAGUCCCUCAUUCCUACUAGUACCCGCCGGUGACGAGCCAGGUGCUGCCUGUCAAUGACGUGAAGUAUACUGAGGUGCCCUCACCAAGAUUCACAGAUUCAGCCUUGCAUCAGCACUACUUGUGUUCAUUGCCUUCCUCUAACUCACCUUGUCAUGGUACGUAGCAUCAGAUGAGACAACACGCAUGUGCUCUCUUGCUGUCUAAGGGUCCUUUCUCCCUAAUUCCACAUUUUAAUUAGCAAAUAAGAUUACUUCACUUUAAGAAGGUCGGCAGUUAUAGCAUAUCACAAGAAACAUGACUGUUCAAAAGAACAGUCCAGCCUGGAAGGCGGUGAAUGGGCUGGUGUGUCCUAGCCUGGUGUCAGGAUGAAGAACAGGAGGCUUCGCCUCAGGGAAAAGCAGGCAGGACACCUAUGCAGAUGCUUACAAAGGGACCAGGAUGCAGCAAGCAGCACUGCUAGCCUUGUAACUGUGACAAGUGUCACUGGUAUUCACCAGUUUAAGACCAGGUGAGUCCAAAGAGGGCUGCUGCCAUUUAUUUUCCAGCAGGUGACUCCGUGGCAGCCUGAGGCUGAGGACCUCUCACCGCAGGCUACCAACAGCCCUGUAUAGUGCUGCUCACAUUCAAUCUGGGCAGCUUGUGGGCCUCUGUAGAGGCACUUGGCCCAGGCAUCACGGCUCCAGCAUCCCCUCUGCCAUACGGAGCCAUGGGGCUGCCCUUCCCCAGGGGCUGCUCCCCACGAUCCACAUCCCAUGUCAAUGCCUUGGAGGCGCUGCCACAUCGCUACCUCCAGAGUGACACAGGGGACACUUCGCUCUGCAUUGCUGGGCUGUGGCACCAGCCCACAGCCACCCAGCACAGCAAAAAGGCAAGCUUUUGCAUGAUAGAAGCAAUGCAGCACCACUCUCAGCUGAGCAGCUCAGUCUGAGGUCACUCAAGAUGCAAGAAGACAGCGAGCGGUGAGGCACCUCUCCUUUCCUUGCCAGAUACGCUCCCAUUGUGUCUGCUUUGCUUUCCAGCCUCUCAAAGCGUUUGGACUUUGUCAGAGAUGAAAGUGCUGUGCCUGGGCUCUGCCGCCAAGUGCUGUGUGUUUCACUGGCAAGGCUUUCUCUUGUUGGCAGACUUGCCCGCCAAAGAAAAAAAAAAACACGGCCAAACAAUUGCUUUGGCUACAAUUUUUGUAGAGCUGCACAAACACCUUGCUUAGAGCUCUGUUGAAUGGUCUCUUAUGAGCAUAAGGCUCGAGGCCACGGCCAAGAAGGAUGUUUGCUGUCUGUGUUGCUCUUUCAGGUUCAAGCAGGGCCCAGUGCUACUUCUCUUUGACCCGUACCAGUUCAGGACGGCUGAGGGUGGCAGCAAGGGUCUGUGAAUGACACCAGCAUUCUGUCUCCUAAUUUGGUUAAAUGUGUCUCCUAAUUAGGCUGGGUUAGAUGGCAGUGUGUGUGUGAUCAAGGGUAGAGGGUAAAACCACAUUCCUGUGUACUGGAUCCUGGCCUUUGUGGAAGGUGGGUACAGUCACCUGACCCUUCUCAGGAUAAGCCAACGCUGGUGUCGCUGGCAUGACUAAUGUGUGGUCAGUUGUGAGGAUUAGCUAAACCGCUCUUGCUCCUACCACAUCAACCUAUUCCACGGCAAGUUUUCCACUUCUGUGAGAGGACGUGGAAUGAAAGCCAAGCAUCCAUCUGGGCCGCUCAGGGCAACAGCGCUUGCACAGGAAGGGUUGCUCCAGCCCUACCUGGGCAGUAGACAGCGACAGCUUUGCCUCGUUGGCUUUCUUGCUCCAGGUUUCCUGGGCAAUGUGCCUCCCUGUGCCCCCGGCAUCAUAGGCUGGAACACGCUCACUUAGCUGCCCUGGCAGUCUGCCCGUAGCCGCUCACGUCCCCUCUGCUUUCAGUCCAGAGGCUCAUUGCACAAAGCAGCCUUAUUUCCCAAAGGUCUGGGUGUGUUUCUUGCCAGGCUUGCAUCUGUCUCACCUGCUGGGGUAAGUGCACUUGGGUGGGGGUCCCUGGGCCUUGGGAGGGACGGGCUGUCACCUGCAGCUAGCCUGCCCGCCUGGGGAAAUGGGCUCUGACAUGCCAGCCGGGUGAUGUGGCAAGCUCGGCCCAAGGGAACGGGGAAAAUGAGAACCUGGGGGGCAGCUAGGGUGCCAGGCGGGCCUGCCUGGGCUAGCACGUGCUUGGUGGUGGGGCUUAACGCCUCCUGUACCCUGGGGAGUACAGUCCUGCUGGGCUGAGGCUGCAUGAGCAGGGUGAGAGGAGUCUUACAGAAACAGUUCUCCAGAGACCAAAGGAUCCCUGCUGGAGCUGGGAAGGUCCCUGCAUCCAAGGUAAGCAGGUGGGAACAGGCACUGGUGGCUAUAGGGCAAGAGGUGCUAUGAGCAGGGAUGGGGGAGCACUGGAAAGGAGGGUGGGAGCUCAAGAUCUACUUGGGCUGAGCAUGGGCUCCAGCAGGGCAAGCACAACGCAAACAAAGAGGUAAGAAUAAGAAAAAAGCUUAUUUGUGGGGAAGGGAGCAGAAAUUGUGUCUGUACCUUAAAAUGGGAGUGAGGGGAGAAACGUCUUCUACUCAAGAAAGCACUGAAGAGCUUUUUGUAGCACACUGUAGGAUGAGAUACGACAAGCUGAUGCUUCCCGUGUGAUCCAGUUAUUUAAUGCAAUGUGCAGCCCUUGGAAGUGUUAGUGCUUAACCAUUACUGUUAAAACAUUAAAAGGCUAAACUAUAAAUAGCUUCCACUCUUCAGCAGCUCCAAAGCUAUGUUUCUGGCAUCUUUAUGUAUUUAUGUGUAUGCAUAGAUGUGUGUGUACACAUAUAUUUAAAGGCAAGCAGCAGACAACAGAGUUUUGUGAAACAAGUCAUACUAAAUAUCUCAAAUGCUGCCAUUUCUAGUUUACACUACUAGUGGAAACAAGUAGUGUGCCCUCAAAAAUACCCCUGCUGGGGGAAAGACAAAACUUUCUUGAGGGCAGAAUUCAAGAGGAAACAAAAUAAUGAUUCAAUUUCUUGGGGGAAGGAAAAAAUAAAAUAAAAUAAAAAAGGCAAAUAUAUGCCUGAAAGAAAAACCAGAAACUAAAUCCCUAAUUAUACCCUGCAGUAAGCUGUCAGAAACUGGCAGCAGUGGGAGGGAAGGAGGCAAAGCUCAUCUCAGUGAGUUUCAGCAUAAUCUGCUCUAACCAUACUUAAAAUGCCUUUUGUGUGGGAAGGGAACAUUCUGGGAUUCUCUGACACAUGCUUUGUACUGUACUUAUCUAAUCGUUCAAAUGUCGGUUAAACAAUGAAGGGUUGAAGUUACAGGCAAGUAUAGAAGAGUUUCACCUGGCCAGCACAAAAAUUCAAUUUUGGUUUGUCUGCCUCCAAAUGCAGUCUUUGUAACUAAACUGCUGAUCUGGCAUCACAGUUUGGGGAAUACAGAUGCUCUUCAAAAGGGUAUAAAACUGUAACAAUCUAUUGCUUGUAAUUACAUUUCGGUUCAAAGAGCUUUUGAUACCAGCAUAAAAUGCAAAGACAUUUUUUUCACGCUUGUAGUGGGGUAGGGGUUUGGAGAGUGAAGCAGAUUUGGGGUUUGCUCUUAUUACUUUGUACCCAGUCUUAGCACACAGUGUGUAUUGGAACUGACCUUCAGGAGCAAGUAAAAGUUCUCAGCAGUUGAACUGACUGAAAGGGAAAAGCAGGUUUAUGAUAGUGGAUUAGAGAAAAGUGCUUUCUUAAUGGAACAAUUUGGUUCCUAGAGAAUAUGUAGCUGCCUUGCUGGUGUGGGGCUUUAAACCGUGGCAGACUGGAUUGACUGUGUGGCUGCAAAAAUCUGUAAAGACUUGUGCUUUUAUAAUGGAGGUUAGAUAGAUUCGGUAAAGGAAGGGUUUGGGCAUGCCUCUAAAGAGCCAAGGUCUGUACCAGGUAACUGCUUAGCUUGUGUUCAAGGCCCACCAGAAUCCAUAGACUACGCACAUCUCGGGGAUUACUCUGGUAGGCGUUUCUCACUGCAUCCACCCUGGAGCAAACUCCAACCUGAACAGGGCUCUCAGUCCCUCUCGUUCAAGUUGUUCCUUCCGCAGUGUUUCACGAUGCCAGUGUUUAACUCUGCUCCUUAUGUUGGUUAAGGACUUCUAUGGGACUUCAGCUUCCAGCUAGAGCUGUCUCCUACAAGGGACAACUUAACUCCAGGCUGCCCUUUUGCUUUGAACAAUGGUGUAGUGAUUAAAAGCAUUCACCUGGGGACGUUCAGGUUUUAAUCUUUCUGCCUAACUGAACCUUGAUACGCCCUAUCUUGGGCAAGUGCUCCAGCUGCCGGAGUACUGGAUAAAAGGAGAAAGCUGGUUAAUGCUUUUUAUUAUUAUUUAUUAGAGGUCGGGGCCGUAGGUCGCUUCUCCUGGAGGUAGAAUACAAUUCAAUUCCUCUCUGCUGAGAAUGGGAAUCCUUGUCCAAUCCCUCCAAAACUGCUUUUACUGCUUUAUCGAUUGUUCCUUUCAACAUCAGGUUCUCAGGACUCUGAAUCAUGCUUGUUUUGCUGUCUAAUGUGCCUUCUGUAAGCCGUACACUCUGUAGACGGAAAACCUUCCAAUGGAAUGUCUUAUAAGAACAAUGCAAGUGAAUUGGCUGUUUCUAGACCACUAAGGCUGAUGGUUUUCACCUAGUAGGAUCUUUAAUUUUCCAUUUGCUGAAAUCAGUGGAAGCUUCUGGCUCUAAUCUGAAAGUCUGCCAGUUAGUAUGUGUCUUCCUAACUCCACUCGCCUUUUUCAAAAGGUACCAGGGCAUGACUCUUGUCAAACAAAUUGGGUUUCUUUUAUGAUCACAAAGGGUUUCACACAGAGCCAAGUAAUAGUGGUAAGGAUGGAUUUCCAUAUGCCCUGAGGCUUGUUCUUCAUCUGCAAUAGCAGAUUAAGUUGGUGGAAUCUAGCUUGUAGCUUCCAUACCCAGUAGACAUAAUCACUACAAACUGCUUAGGUCAGGUCACAACUAAAUGCCUACCCUGAAAUGAUCUCAUGCACAGGUGGCAUCCCAAAACUAGCCUUGACGGUGAACAGACUGUCAGGGCAUCAUAGCUUGUGAUGUGUCCUUCCCACACCACCCCCAAGUUGGAAUGGUCAAAGUUAUACUCAUCUCACCUGACUAUGGCAGAUGUGGAGCUUACAGAGAAUUACAGUUUGGCUUAGUCAAAAGAACUGCUGGAGGGGUAUCUUUCAAGGUGGUUCCCUCAAGAAAAUCUGAGAAUGGCUUGAUGAACAGAACAAAAGACAGAAUUUUUCCUGAUCGUCUUCUAGGGCAAAGAUAUGAAAAAGACCAGGAUAAUACUCAUGAAAUGUACACACAAGAAGUUAAAAUUUAUUUCAAAGAAAACAUUUUUUAUUAUUUUAUAUAUGUGCUAGAUCAAAGGAGCAACUCUGGAACUAGGCUGAAAUUAAUAUGAAAUCUAAAAUAAUCACAGCUUGUGAUUUCUUUGCAUGAUAUGUAAUCACUCUGCUACAGUGCACAUGACAUAAUCUGAAACAUUAUGAACCCAUUUAUUGGAGGGAAAAAGACACACCAGGAUUAAGA